GUUUGGAUGGCCGAGUGGUCUAAGGCGCUAGUUUCAGGAUUAGCAUCAUCUCAGAUGCAAACCAUGUGCUCACACACAUACUAGUCCGAAAGGGGGCGUGGGUUCGAAUCCCACUCCAAUCA